rnacentral:rRNA from 1 species
GACGAACGCUGGCGGCGUGCUUAACACAUGCAAGUCGAACGGAAAGGCCCUGCUUUUGUGGGGUGCUCGAGUGGCGAACGGGUGAGUAACACGUGAGUAACCUGCCCUAGACUUUGGGAUAACUUCAGGAAACUGGGGCUAAUACCGGCUAGGAGCUCCUGCUGCAUGGUGGGGGUUGGAAAGUUUCGGCGGUUGGGGAUGGACUCGCGGCUUAUCAGCUUGUUGGUGGGGUAGUGGCUUACCAAGGCUUUGACGGGUAGCCGGCCUGAGAGGGUGACCGGCGACAUUGGGACUGAGAUACGGCCCAGACUCCUACGGGAGGCAGCAGGGGGGAAUAUUGCACAAUGGGCGGAAGCCUGAUGCAGCAACGCCGCGUGCGGGAUGACGGCCUUCGGGUGGUAAACCGCUUUCGCCUGUGACGAAGCGUGAGUGACGGUAAUGGGUAAAGAAGCACCGGCUAACUACGUG